ACAGAGGGGGCCAGCGUUAUUCGGAAUUAUUGGGCGUAAAGGGCGCGUAGGCGGCCAUGCGUGUCUUCCGUGAAAUCCCUCGGCUUAACCGAGGACGUGCGGAAGAAACUGCAAGGCUCGAGUCCGGAAGAGGGGGGCGGAAUUCCCAGUGUAGCGGUGAAAUGCGUAGAUAUUGGGAGGAACACCAGUGGCGAAGGCGGUCCCCUGGGCCGGAACUGACGCUGAGGCGCGAAAGCGUGGGUAGCAAACGGGA
rnacentral:rRNA from 1 species